rnacentral:misc_RNA from 1 species
GUGUUGCGACAUAAUGCCAAAUACAUACCACAAACGUUUCUGCGAGAAUAAUGCGACUGCUUGAGUUAUAAAUAAAUCAAAAUCUUCAAAGCAUAUAAUUACAUUCAUAGGUGGGAUCAGAUUUGAUUUAUUUUCGCUCAAAUCACUAUGUUUGUAGGAAAGUGGUUUCCCUAGGAAUACUAAUCAUUCUAUUCUUACUGGCAUUUAGAUACUCUGAGAGAAAGAGAAAGAAUUUUAUCUUAUUCUGGAGCUAGUUUGUGCCAAAUACUUCGGAAAAGUCUGUGAACAUACUUUUGAUAGUUACUGCUCUAGCUCCUGCUGCUACUGUAACGAACGAUCAAUUGUAUGUUUUCCUGGAAGAUUAUCUGACAGAUAGCUAGUUUAUUUGUGUACACUUAUGCUUUUGUUUCCAGAGGAUACACAAACUGGAAACUAAUUAGUUCCUCUUCUGGAAGAGUGGAUCUAUUUGAAGAGUACAUGGUGAAAUACACAUUAUUUUUUUUUAAAUAUUGGACAGUGAUAUAAAUAACAGAACAAGUGAUAAUAUCUUUGAAAAUAAAAACAAACAAACAUAAAGUGGAUAUCACUGAGGAAACCUGCAUUUAGAUUGGAUCUAUUUAUAGCAUUUACAGUUGCGAACAUAACUGCAGUGAUAACAUAAGCUUAAACAGUGACCAUUCUAAACUCGAAGAUAUUCCAGAGUUCAAAGAGGAAGAGGAGAAGUAAAGUCUAAUAAAAUUGAUUCAGACACAUGAGAUCAUUUGAACACGUUCACUUACCAUUAUUUGUCUGAUGAACACCAGAGUAAUAUGCCUGUUGCAAAAAAAUUGGAUACAAGUAAACAAUAAAUUGGAACGUACUUUGAAGUCAGACAAGUUAAUGAGAAAUACCGUAGUAUAGUUACACCUUGUCACUAUUGAUUCGAAACCCUACUUAGGGAGUACUGUCAUUCAUGUGAGGAAGCCCUCCAGAUCGCUUACGGGAGACGGUGGCUUUACCAAGGUGCCAGCAAGGGUCCUCGG